GGCGCCGCUGUGUUCGGCCUGCUACUGGAGGAGAGGAUGGAGCCAGGUCUGCUGUGGUGGCUGGUUUGGGAAAGAAAAAGAAUGAAAACGGGGAGGGGGCUGCUCUGGUUUGGGAGAAGAAGCUGGAAAUGUGCAAACAAAAGGGGGGUCUUUUCGUGUCUUCUCUGGUGGUCUUUUUGACCAAGAAAAUGGGAAGGCUUUGGGCGGCUUGUGGGUUUUAUUUCUCUCCGGUUGUCUUUUCUCCGGUUGUCUUUUUUUUUUGCAGAGGGGGAAUCGGCUGGAAGGAGAAAAUGGGGGACCGGCUUCUGUGUGGCAGGUCUUGGCCGAGUGACUUUUAGUGCUCCCUAGCUCUUGGUGUUGAAGACCGCCGGCUUGUUUUUUUGGCCAGGAGAGGGAGAGUUUUGUGUAAAAAUGGGGGAGAAGGAGAUGAUCUCAAAGGAGCUGGGGAUCGUGGGUCUCUGCCCACUACUCUCGGGACCCGGCGAAAAAAAUGGCUCCAAUCUCCCUCUCUUGCAAAACUAAGAAUGAGAAGAAAUAGGGGCUUUUCUCGUGAGGAGAGCCAACAAGGAAAAGAAGUCCUGGGUGGGGGCUGAGUUCAUCAUUUUUAGCCGAAAGAGAGGGAUUAAAUAAUGGUCUUGGGCCAGGGGCAACGGCUAGUUUCGGGUGAAGAGAAAAAAAAAAAUUUCUUAGGUUGCCCCUUCUUCCAAAAUUCAAAAUUCGAUAUACAUAGGCAAAAAUAUUGUUUCGGCCUCAAAAUUGGUCCCUUAAUUUUCUUUUUUUUGUAAAAUUUGAUUUUUCUUGUUUUUUUGUAUUUUUUUGAAAACGAGCAAUAUCAACGUCGACUCAAAUACGGAAAAUCAAUUAUUUUUAAAAAUGACGCGUGAAAAGUCGAACGCGUUCGAAAGACCCUUAAAAAAUUUAAAAAAAAAUUAGACGACGUUGAAAAUGCUAAAAUGACAAAAAUAUAUUAAAAACAUAUUUUUUUGGAUUUUCUUUGUAUUUCUCUAUUUUUGGAUUUUUUUGAAAAUAUAUCAAAAACAUGGGUCAAAAAUUGGGUAGCAACAGAUGCCCCCUCUUUACAAUGCUUACGAAGCAAAAAUCCUCGAUGUUUUGCAUAGUAAGCUUUGUAAAGAAAAACUUGUCUUUCUAUUUGCUCAAUAUCCACUUCAUCAGCAAUCUUCCCUUUUUUUUAUUAUCCUGAGAUCCCAUCUGGCGACCUCCUUUAAACAAAACCAAAGAAUGUGUGUAACUCGGUCAACCUGAAAUCCCAUAUGGAGAUUCCCUUUAACCAAAGCUACAUGAGAUCCCAUCUGGCGACCUCAUUCAACUGGAACAAAAGAAUGUGUAAAAAGUGGUCUCAUUAUAAUGGGUGACCUACCCAAGUGGAAAGGAGGAAGAGUGGUCUCAUUCUUUGGGUGACCUACCCAUGGGGAGGAAUGGCCUCAUUCUUAUGGGUGACCUACCCAGGUAAAAAAAAAUGGAGAAUGGUCUCAUUCUAAUGGGUGACCUACCCAGGAAUAAAAAAUGGUGGUCUCAUUGUGAUGGGUGACCUACCCAAGUGGAAAGGGGGGAGAGUGGUCUCAUUCUUUGGGUGACCUACCCAGGGGGAAGAAUGGCCUCAUUCUUUGGGUGACCUACCCAGAUAAAAAAAAAGAUGGAGAAUGGUCUCAUUCUAAUGGGUGACCUACCCAGAAAAAAUGAUGGUCUCAUUGUGAUGGGUGACCUACCCAAGUGGAAAAAGGAAGAGUGGUCUCAUUCUUUGGGUGACCUACCCAGGGGGAGGAAUGGCCUCAUUCUUAUGGGUGACCUACCCAGGUAAAAAAAAGAUGGAGAAUGGUCUCAUUCUUUGGGUGACCUACCCAGAAAAGAUGAUGGUCUCAUUGUGAUGGGUGACCUACCCAAGAUGGAAAAAAAUGUGAAGUGUGGUCUCAUUGUAAUGGGUGACCUACCCAGAUGGAAAAAAUGUGAUGAAGUGGUCUCGUUGUGAUGGGCGACCUACCCAAAUAGAAAGAAUAUGAAGUGCGGUCUCAUUGUAAUGGGUGACCUACCCAGAUGGAAAAAAUAUGAUGAAGUGGUCUCGUUGUGAUGGGCGACCUACCCAAAUAGAAAGAAUAUGAAGUGCGGUCUCAUUGUAAUGGGUGACCUACCCAGAUGGAAAAAAAAUGAAGUGUGGUCUCAUUGUAAUGGGUGACCCACCCAGAUGGAAAACAAAUGAUGAAGUGGUCUCGUUGUGAUGGGCGACCUACCCAAAUAGAAAGAAUGUGAAAUGCGGUCUCAUUAUGAUGGGCGACCUACCCAGAUGGAAAAAAAUAUGAUAUGACAAGUGUGAAAAAUAGGACUUACCUGGCGAAGUCCUGAAGGGAUGACAGAAGAAGGGCUGGAAAAACUUGGUGCUUCCUGAUAAUUCCCGAUCAUAGGGUUUGAAAAACUCGGUGUUUCCUGACUGCAAGGGUUGAAAACUUGAGGCUUCCCGAUUGCAAGGUUGAUCUUUUCAUUUCUUUGGGAUUUUCCUAAUGGUAAGGUUUAUCCCAUCAUCCUUUUAUUCCAUGAUCAAAACCGAUUCUUUAUUAUCAUCACCACAAUGCUUCUUUCUCUUUCCACCAUCUUGCUGGACCUCAUCAAGGAUUUUCCUGUAACAAUUCAAAAAUAUGUGCAAAUGGUUUUUUUUUUUUUUUUUUUUUUUUUUUUUUUUUUUUUUUUAGGUUAGAUGAUAUGCAUGCAUCCUUACCUGAUUUGAAAUAUAGGUCCUCCCCUCUUUGAUGCUCCAUCGUCAUAGGGUACCUUUGUUUUCAUCUCAAAGCUUUCUUUGUUCUUCUAAGGAAUUGACUCUUUCAUAUGCUAGCCAUCCACUCAGCUGUAAAUGCAAUGCCCAUCCCGGGCUGUCUUUGACAAUUACUGCUCGUAUCGCUCAUCAAGCUUGACAAUGCCCCCAAGUGUGGUGUUGCUUGAUUCAUCAUGAAGAAUUUUCUCUCUUGGAUUCUUCUGAGGAUUAUCCUUUGAUUGAUUGUGUGCAUCAUGCCAACAUCCAUCAAGAUUGUUAAUUAGUCAUGAACUUGCCUUCGGUUGAAACACCAUUCAAGUAUGUAUGGUCCCCAGCCUUCAUGGAACUGCCAAGUCAUCCAGACAUGAAUCUCAUGUUUUGCAGUAAACAGCUCAUCAUUGUAAGCGCGAUGUAUUUCUCUAUGGAUUCCUCCUAGCUUGUCAAAUCAGAUCGUAAAAAUAACUGCUUUGGCAUCAUCAAUGAUGUUCAUGUUAUCACCCAUAUUCAUGCGGUGAAGUGUGCAUUUGAGCUUCAAAACAAAUGGUCCCACAGUCAGUCUUGGUGGGUGCAUCCUUCCAGCAUUCAUGCACAUGCAACUAUGUGAUAACAUCGUUCAAAAAUCAUAACCAUGUUGAAGAUGAUAAACCAAGAUGAAGAUAUGAAAAUAUCCUUCUAGUGCAGCGUUGCUCAUCAAUUGCUGCUGAAGUGCACUAGAUCAUGGAUUGUCUUUGAACAACAUUGCCCCCAAUAUGAUCUGAAGGUUCGUUCAUCGGUUUAUACUCAAGAAGGUUUUUCUUUGUCAUUGUCAGAUGCUAAACAUAACUUUGAUGAACUUUGACGACUCAUCAUCUGAUUCUUUCUUUGCCCCCAGCUGAUUAGAAUGUUGUUUGUUUUCUUCCAAAGGUCCACUGUAUUGCCCCCAAGUGGUCAACGUUUCAAGGAGUGUCGAGAAAAUAUUGAUGUCAUUUUUUUCAAGGAUUUUGCAAACUCAAUUGAUGUUCUUGUUUGAAAAUCUUUCUUGUUCUGGAAUCAAAUCUCAUACUUCAAAGGUCAUGUCUAUUCAAGUCUAAUUGUUGAAAUGAAAUCAAAGAGAUAUCAGUUUUUGAAAAGUAUUAUUUUUCUUUUGAAAUUCAAACUUCUUUGGUCAAAGACCCAACACACUACUCAAUGCAGUCCUUUGAUUGUCUUGUAUUUUGAAAAUAGAAUGACCCGUUGUAAGAUUUAAAAUGACUUUUUCAUGGUUCUUUGUGUCCACUUUAAACUCUGAUUUUGGGUAUAUCUUUUGAUGGUCUGUGAUGAGGUGACAUUUUUAUGAAUUUCAAAAACAAGAUGCUCAGGCUUUAUCAAGAAAGGUUGUUUCUUUUCUUUAGCAUUUAUUUUAUCAGCAUGCAUAAUAACCAGUAGCUUAAUUCAUGAAGUCACGACCCUUAUGGAAAAGCUCUUCAAGUUUUGAGAGCGCCAUUUAUCGGUUCAAAUUGCUUGCUUGAUUAAAAAGGGCUUUUAAAAGCAUGUAAUGCAGGCUAUGGUUCAUGGCUAUGAAAGAAAAGAAUUUUAAAGGCUCAAAAGGUGUUUGAGGGUUUCAACGACUUAGGAUCAACAUCAAUUAUUCAUCGAUUCUCUUUCUCUUGUCGUCAUGGUAGAGAAAAUGACAUAUAACCUUGUUAAUCUCAAAUAUCAGAAUUCUCUUAACAUAGGUCAUAAUGCAAAUCCAACUUUUCUUUGAUGAAUAACCAAUCUAAAAUUUUUUUUUAAAGACAUUAGAGGCUUUAUCCUAGACACACCAAAAGAUAUGAAGCAUCGAUUUUUCUAGUGUUGUCUUUUGGCAUUUAUUGUCUUUUCUCAAUUGAAAGUUGUCUUGCCUCUCUUAGAAUUGGUAGGCAUUUUCUUUCAUUUCCUCAAAGUUUUUCUUGGAUGGCCCUCAAUCUAUGGAUUUUCUUCUUCUAGCCCUUUCUCAAACAUUGGACUUUUGUUCUAAGCCUUCCCCUUUAUCCAUUAAUCAUAUCAACGUCUCCAAAAUAUCUCUUGUUUGCCCCAGUGUGGGGUGUGAUCCUAGUCAGGGUUUUUAGAAAAAAAAUAUUCUAUCCAGCUCAAAAUGGGACUACAAGGGAGAUAAUUUUUAGAAAGUGAAGGGAUAUCAAAGAUGGCCUUUUCUCAUUUCAAGCAAAGUCGGUUAGAACCGAUCAAUUUUGACCUCAUCUAGUGUAAUGAUUUGGACUUGUAAGAGUCAAUGAUUCACGAGUCCAUAACUACCGAAACCACUACAUGUCAUUAUGCAUACUGCUAAAACUUAGCUAUAUGAUGUGUGGUUCAAUUUUGUGUGUGAGCUCAAAAUUUGUUUGGUCACCUCAUGUCAUUUCAAACAAGAAUCGAGUCAUUUCUGCAAUCAAAACACUUUUAAUCUUCAGGAUUGACUAGCCUUUAUCGCAUGUUUGAGUUUGAUCAAAAUAUUUUGUUAGAAUAAAACAUUAAACAUCUGUUGAUUUCAAAACAACAAAGAAACAAAAGCAAAACAUGUUUCAGUAAAGGAUGAGAUGUGAUCCAAAAACAAAAUGCAGAAUUCCAUAACAAUAUGAUUGACUAUUCAUCACCAUUCUUGAAUAAGCUUUUCUGGCAAUAUCUGCGUUUUGCCAAGCACUUUCGAUCAACAUGUCAUUCUGAGGAUGUUCUGGCGACAACAUGAUUGAUGACAUCAUCUUUCACAAACUCAGCUCGAUUCUUGAAACUAUUGUGAUUCAACUGAAAUGGUCCGGGAAACCUCCAUGAUAUUCACAUCUGGUUUGAAUUAUACCACGGUGGUUGCAUGCAAUUGGUCGAAGUCUGGGACACUAAAUCUGAAAUCUGGCAGUGCUGGUCGACAAACUUAAGUGGCAGAGGAAUGUCAAUCUUGGCAAAGACAUUUGAGCAAUUGACGCUAUCGUGAGACCUGGCUAGACCACAUAAUUAAGGGUUCACACCGUCGAAGUCAUCUCCUGAUUCACUUAUCAUCAUUGCACUAGAAUCCAGGGCAGAUCCUUCAAUCUUUCCUCUCUUCAUAGCUUGUUCAAUUCUUCGGCAAAUCCUCACAACAUUAUUUCAAUCUUCCAAUGUUGUUGUGGUUGGUUGAGGAUUGUUAGAAAACUUUCCAACGGCUUGGUAAUCUUGGCAGCGCCCAGAAACUUGUAGUAUCGCCACUACCGACACGUGGAAUCAUGCCUUAUCUCUUCUAUGGGAGAAAACGAUGAACAUGAAUCUCCUUUAUUUCUUCUUCGAUUCCUCUCGAAUGGUGCGGCAAACAAGCACCAAUAGAGGGAGUUCUGCUCUGUUGAAGUUUCAGUCUUCUUCAUGUUUUUUCAGUCUAGGCAUGUCUCUUCUGAGUAUUUUGCGUUUUAAAAAAAAACUGACACUGUUGGAGGAAAAUCAUAGAUGAUCUGAAACUGCUGUAUUCCUUAUUGGAUUUCCCACUUGCGGAUCCACAAACAGAUUCCUGCCGAGAGAGCUCUGCUAUGUUGAAGUUUGAUGUCUGCUCAUAUUUUUCAGACCAGGUCUGGCUCUUCGACCUACUAAGAGGUCUUCGUGCUGAAACUGAUGAGAGAAAUAUUUGUAACCUAUGCAACUUAUACAUCCCCUCUUGCAUUCUCAAUUUGCAGCAUCAUAAACAGAUUUUUGUAGAAAGAGCUCUGCCACGUUGAAGUUCGACGACUGCUCAUGUUUUCAGACUAGGCCUAAGUCCUCUGACUGCUACAAUGUUUUGCUCGUUUCACUAGUGGGAAAAAAAUUUCAAAGCAUAUGAAAUUAAUACAUCCCCUUUUUGCAUUUCUCAUUGGCAGAUCCACAAAUAAAUCUUCUACAGAGAGCUCUACCGCGUGGAAGUUCAGUGUCUGAUCAUGGUUUUUUAGACCAACCUCUUGUGCUGCUGAACUGGAAUUGAGCUCAUAAUUGGGGUAACUUGAAAACAGACUGAUGCACCAUGAACAGGAGGCUACUAGUCGUUUGGUUCCAUUAGAUGAUGUGGAGGCAAUGAACAUUUAACAGUGCAACUUUGAUGCUCUCAAACUCAAACUGAUAAUGAGCCUCUAUCUGACACUUUUCUUCACCUCCAUCAUUUUUCUUCAAUCACGUGCAGCACAGCUUGUGCGGGGGAACCUACUUUUCAACCCGGUACAUGCAUGAUAAAUGUAUGAAUAUGUAAUCUAUAUGACGAACUCACCCUUCGAGGGUGACAAUAUGGUCGUAACUCUUGUAUGAUGGAACAAGAAUCGUGAUUUUUGCCCAAACUCUACAAUGAAAAUUUUCUGAGUGAUGGCCAUUGUGUCACCCACAAGUCUUGAGUUCAAGAUGCUUCAAGAAGGGUUUGCUCGGAUGCAAAACAAUAGCACAUACAUCCUAAAAACAGGCUCUAUUUAUUUUAUGUGAGACAGGGUAGGUUUGCUACUUGGUCUCUAAAAGGGUCUCUUGUUGUCCCAGUGAUCGCCUUCGUAAAGCCAAUAUAGGGGCCCAGUAGGUAAUUGGUUGGCACGUGUCCAACUAUUACCAGUCUAAGCACUCAACAAAGAGUUGGGGUUUACACAAACUUAAACCUUGACUCAAGUCGUAAGGUAAGCUGCUAGUCCCCCACCUAACCUAAAGCUUGUGUGUGCUUUCAAAAAUUAAAACUUGUGAUGCAUGAGAGAAUUAUAUACAAUGCAUGAAUAAAACACAAAUAAAUAAAACAAAACACAAAAAAAAAAAUUGACCACAUCAAAACACAAAGCUUAGUCCGAUAAAGUUGAAAACAAUACCUGUCCCCAGUGGAGUCGCCAUCCUGUCGCACCCCAAAAAAAUCGCGCGACAUCGGCUGGCGAUUUUUAUCGUUUGUUGCGUUUGCUUUGAAUUCGUUCGUGGGAGUCGCCACCAAGUAAUUUAUUAAGGGCUACUAGGAAACCUGAUGUACUGGUCUUGUCAGAGAUCGCGGGUAAGGGACUGGUUGUGGUUAGGGAAGGUAUUAACACCCCUAACGCACCCUACCUGAGGUAAGCUGCUUUGUUUUCUGAUGUAGUUUGAAAAUUUAAAAUAUUAAUUAAAUUCUAAAGCUUGAAUAAAUCAGUUAUUAAAUCCCCGAAUAUAUGUAAAAACUUGUUCUUACAUUUUCAUGGAAAAUACAACUUGAUUUUAUUUGUCCUUGAGAUAUUUAACCAUUUUUAAAAAAAUUUAAAAUAUUAAUUAAAUUCUAAGGCUUGAAUAAAUCAGUUAUUAAAUCCUCGAAUAUAUGUAAAAAACUUGUUCUUACAUUUUCGUGGAAAAUACAACUUGAUUUUAUUUGUCCUUAAGAUAUUUAACCAUAUUUAAAUUAACAAUUAAUUCUUUUUGUCUUUUUUUUAUUUUUUAUAAUUCAAUGUCAUAAGAAAAAAAAUACAAACACACAGCACAAUUUUUUUAUUAUUUAUUUUUCUUUUCUUUUCCAUCACAUUUAUACAAUACAAAUUCAAAACAUCAAAAUAAAAAUUACAUUAAUUAAUUUAAAAUUUACAAAAAAACAGCCCCAACACAAUCUGGAAUUUAUGGGGCACCACCAGAACAGUGUUGGAAACAUAUUCUAGGAAGCUGAACACUGGCGGCGCGUCUUCCCACACGCCACCGUCACUGGCGGCGCGUGGGUUCACACGCCGCCGAUGGAAAACCUGAAAAACAGAGGGGGCUAGAGCGGCUCCUUCUCCUCUUCCUUUCCUCGCCGACGGUGAAGGUCACCGCCACCUGCAACAAGAGAAAAAACUCACAAACAGCAGUUCGUUUUAAUUUUUUUUCUUUCCGUUAUAGAUCUGCUUCUCUUUGAUCUGAUUUUCUGCAGAUCGGUUCGCCCUUCUUCAGAUCGACUUUGCCCCCGGUCAGCCUCUACUUCGGGCGGCGCUGUUGGGGUCGCUUCUGUGGUCGUUGUUGCUGGGUUCUUCGGUGGGAGGAGGCUGAUUGGUGGACGGUGCUGAUGGUUGUGGGCGCCGCUGUGUUCAGCCUGCUACUGGAGGAGAGGAUGGAGCCGGGUCUGCUGUGGUGGCUGGUUUGGGAAAGAAAAAAAAUGAAAACGGGGAGGGGGCUGCUCUGGUUUGGGAGAAGAAGCUGGAAAUGUGCAAACAAAAGGGGGGUCUUUUCGUGUCUUCUCUGGUGGUCUUUUUGACCAAGAAAAUGGGAAAGCUUUGGGCGGCUUGUGGGUUUUAUUUCUCUCCGGUUGUCUUUUCUCUGGUUGUAUUUUUUUUUGCGGAGGGGGAAUCGGCUGGAAGGAGAAAAUGGGGGACCGACUUCUGUGUGGCAGGUCUUGGGCGGGUGACUUUUAGUGCUCCCUAGCUCUUGGUGUUGAAGACCGCCGGCUUGUUUUUUUGGCCAGGAGAGGGAGAGUUUUGUGUAAAAAUGGGGGAGAAGGAGAUGAUCUCAAAGGAGCUGGGGAUCGUGGGUCUCUGCCCACUGCUCUCGAGAACCGGCGAAAAAAAUGGCUCCAAUCUCCCUCUCUUGCAAAACUGAGAAUGAGAAGAAAUAGGGACUUUUCUCGUGAGGAGAGCCAACAAGGAAAAGAAGUCCUGGGUGGGGGCUGAGUUCAUCAUUUUUAGCCGAAAGAGAGGGAUUAAAUAAUGGUCUUGGGCCAGGGGCAACGGCUAGUUUCGGGUGAAGAGAAAAAAAAAAAUUCUUAGGUUGCCCCUUCUUCCAAAAUUCAAAAUUCGAUAUACAUAGGCAAAAAUAUUGUUUCGGCCUCAAAAUUGGUCCCUUAAUUUUUUUUUUUUUGUAAAAUUUGAUUUUUCUUGUUUUUUU
rnacentral:lncRNA from 1 species